rnacentral:rRNA from 1 species
CAGGAUGGACCCGCGUCUGAUUAGCUAGUUGGUAAGGUAACGGCUUACCAAGGCGACGAUCAGUAGCCGACCUGAGAGGGUGAUCGGCCACAUUGGAACUGAGACACGGUCCAAACUCCUACGGGAGGCAGCAGUGGGGAAUAUUGCACAAUGGGCGAAAGCCUGAUGCAGCAACGCCGCGUGAGUGAUGAAGGCCUUCGGGUCGUAAAACUCUGUCCUCAAGGAAGAUAAUGACGGUACUUGAGGAGGAAGCCCCGGCUAACUACGUGCCAGCAGCCGCGGUAAUACGUAGGGGGCUAGCGUUAUCCGGAUUUACUGGGCGUAAAGGGUGCGUAGGCGGUCUUUCAAGUCAGGAGUGAAAGGCUACGGCUCAACCGUAGUAAGCUCUUGAAACUGGGAGACUUGAGUGCAGGAGAGGAGAGUGGAAUUCCUAGUGUAGCGGUGAAAUGCGUAGAUAUUAGGAGGAACACCAGUUGCGAAGGCGGCUCUCUGGACUGUAACUGACGCUGAGGCACGAAAGCGUGGGGAGCAAACAGGAUUAGAUACCCUGGUAGUCCACGCUGUAAACGAUGAGUACUAGGUG